AUUGAACGCUGGCGGCAGGCUUAACACAUGCAAGUCGAACGAGAGGAGGACGGGUGUGCAAUGCUUGGGAAUCUGGCCAGUGGUGGGGGCUAACGCCGGGAAACUGUCCCUAAUACCGCGUACCAUAGGAGGAACCCAAGUGGGAUUAGGUAGUUGGUGGGGUAAGUGCCUACCAAGCCGAAGACCUCUGGCUGGUCUGAGAGGAUUACCAGCCACACCGGGAGUGAGCCACGGCCCGGACCCCGACGGGAGUCAGCAGUGGGGAAUAUUGCGAAAAGGGGGCAACCUGAUCAAGCCACUCCGCGUGUAUGAUGAGGGCCUGCGGGUUGUAAAGUUCUUUCGGCUACGCGGCGUGAGUCACAGAAGAAGCAGCGGCUAACUCCGUGCCAGCAGCCGCGGUAAUAC
rnacentral:rRNA from 1 species